rnacentral:misc_RNA from 1 species
AUUUUAUUUGGACAGAAAGAAGGAGUCUAAGAUGUUCAGAUAAGGUGUCGUUCUAAGUUCUAACCUAAACAAUACAAAGCAAAUGGACAAAAUGAAAAAUAUUAGUAAAUAAAAAAGUAGUGCCAUCCGUUCAAGCUGAGCAACAUUUAAAGAUGCUUGCCUGAAAGCCUCUGAAGCACAGGCCUACAAAGACAUUUUACUGAACUUUUUAACUCAAUUCAAUUUUGGAAGCACCGUUUUGACCCUACAACAUCAUGGUUUAGCCAAAAUUUUAUUUGAAAGUGGUGGAAAUGCUUUAAAGGCGGUGAUUAAGAUGUGUCUAAAAUGGCAGGUACGGUCACUUGACUUGGGAGU